AGUACGGCCGCAAGGCUGAAACUCAAAGGAAUUGACGGGGGCCCGCACAAGCAGUGGAGCAUGUGGUUUAAUUCGAAGCAACGCGAAGAACCUUACCAGGUCUUGACAUCCUCUGACCACCCUAGAGAUAGGGCUUUUCCCUUCGGGGGACAGAGUGACAGGUGGUGCAUGGUUGUCGUCAGCUCGUGUCGUGAGAUGUUGGGUUAAGUCCCGCAACGAGCGCAACCCUUGAUCUUAGUUGCCAGCAUUCAGUUGGGCACUCUAAGGUGACUGCCGGUGACAAACCGGAGGAAGGUGGGGAUGACGUCAAAUCAUCAUGCCCCUUAUGACCUGGGCUACACACGUGCUACAAUGGGUGGUACAAAGGGCAGCGAAACCGCGAGGUCGAGCGAAUCCCAUAAAGCCACUCUCAGUUCGGAUUGCAGGCUGCAACUCGCCUGCAUGAAGCCGGAAUUGCUAGUAAUCGCGGAUCAGCAUGCCGCGGUGAAUACGUUCCCGGGCCUUGUACACACCGCCCGUCACACCACGAGAGUUUGUAACACCCGAAGUCGGUGAGGUAACCGUAAGGAACCAGCCGCCGAAGGUGGGACAAAUGAAUGGGGUGAAGUCGUAACAAGGUAGCCGUAUCGGAAGGU
rnacentral:rRNA from 1 species